AAGAGUUAUGCCCAGGCAGUUCAUGUAUCUUUUUACACAAUUAUUUGUGCAAUGAACCACACAACAAAUUGUCCAAUUGAUUACCAAGUACUACAUGCACAAUGGAUGAUGCAACUAACCAUGCACUGACCAAGCAACUGCAUUUGGGGGAAUGCUUACUUGUUGCAAAUUUCUCAAUGACUUGCACAGCCUCAAGUUAUGCAGCUGUAGAUACACAACAGGAUUUUAGCCAGUAUUUAUUGGAGCAACAUUGGUGACAUAAGUACAAAAUUGAUUUUGUAGGGCUUGAAUGGUAGAAUACCAUGGUGACUGAUCAGGGGAAAGAGAUACAGAGGUUAUAACAUAUGUUGCGUAAAGUCCAUUUCUAGUAACAGGACAAUAUGUUAUGCUUACUUUCUCACUUUCGCAUAUAGAGGUCUGGCUAUGGCUUAUCUCCACUGUGGAAACAUUUAUAUAAAAAAGAUGAACAGUGUGCUUCAUUGUAGAUUUGCAGAGAGGGUCACAUUGACAAGCUCUGUGAUUUUCUUAUUUACAUUUUAGUCCACAAAACAGUUUGUUCCAGAGGGCAACAUGAUAGAACAAAUCCAGAAGAUCCCAUAGGAAAAAAGUCCAUGUCCUUUUUUGUUGUGAGUUGGACUCACAAAGGGUUUUUAGCAACAAUUCACAGAGAAAACAGUGGAACUUAACCUGCUUAGGCAAGAGUCAAAGCUCCGAAAACCAAGAUUAGAAGAGAAGAAAAGUUCACUCAUUCUUCAACUUGUAGCUGGCCAGCAAAGAUCACAUUAAUACACCCUGUUUUUGAUUGAACUUGCUCAACAGAUAAACAAACUGUGGCAUUUGAAGUGAACAGCACAAAUGCUGCUGAGUGGCUGGGAGAAGGAAAGAAAGCAGCAGAUCAACAACGAAGCUUAAUUCAACAGCGUGUUAAAACCUGGGCUUUAUUUUCCUGGAUGUGCUGGAACUGCAAAUCCUACCAGUGCCUGCUAGCAACUGCAAUGUGAAAUUUGUGGUCCACGGAGUCUGGAAAAUGCUAGGUUGGGGGAACCUGACUGAAAAUACAAGUGGGGCCAAUUUGAAAGAAUAAACAACAAAAUGCUGCUGGCGUAAAGGUGUCAAUCUACAGGAAAGUAUCCUAGUUUCUUCUAGCUUUUCUUUUAAAGAUAACCAAUAGCAUAAUGUUGAAUGCAACAAAGAACUGUGCCCAUUAAUAUUAAUAUAGAAUCAAUUAGGUAUCUGAGUCCUCUGAGUAAAGUCUUCACUAAUUAGACUUGCAGCAGCAUUCAAAGUUCUGCAUUCUUCCCAAUUUGUUUCUCUCAGAUAAAAUUUUGUCUAAGUAUCACCUUGAAUUAUUUUAUAAAAGAGGAAACGUGAUACCCAAGGAAAAUUAAAAACUGAUUCUCUCUUAUGUGUCUAAUUCUUUUAUGUAUGUCAGCAAAAAUACUGCCCCAUAUUGAACUGUGAAAACCACAAUUGAUCAAAUUAGAUAGUUGCAAAAGCAGGGAGCACAUUUCAUUGUGCCUUAAUACUAGAUCUUCCUAACAUUUCAGACAAAAAAACCCCCUCAAAAUAAUCUGUAUUUUCCUCCACUCUCAUUGCCUUCUUUUGAAACUCAAGGUUCAUAUUUGGCUGGAGAAAAGCUAGUACAGAAAAGUGCUUAGCCUCCGCAGCUCAUAAAGAUUCAAGCAACCCAUUUAUUUCUUCUACUUUAACAAAACCUCACAUGACAACAAUGUUGGUUUGGGCUUUGUGCAAUUGCACCAAAAAUUCCUUCACAACUACCAAUUGUCUCAGCGACCAUUAAAAAUGUUAUCUUCCUGUUGUGAGGGGGAAAAAUGAGUCUGGUUUCACAUUUAGUACAUGAAGGUGAACUAUGGCACAAUUUACAUUUGUAUUGCUAACUAAGGCUGAACCUGACAAUUUCUUCCAGACCACAUUCUCUUUCCAGGGAAACUGAUGUCCUACUUUUUGUGCAUAUGGAUGAUUUAGUGGCAUCUGAGGGCUUGGGGACUGACAAGGACAAUGGCCUCUUAGACCAGCGGUUCCCAACGUUGGGUAAUCCAGGUGUUCUUGAACUGUAGUUCCCAGAAGCCUUUGCCACCAGCUGUGCUGGCCUGGCUUUCAGGGAACUGCAGUUCAAGAACACCUUGGUUACCCAAGGGCACCAUUGUCUUAGACAUAUCAAGCAUGGGAACUGCAGGCACUGGUGCUGUGGAUUUUGAGAUAUCAGGUGUAGAAAGUUGUAAUAUUGAAGGCCUUUUGCUGCUGGAUCAAAAUUCAGUAUUGAGGGUCUAAGUCCAGCACAUCUAAGCAGUGUCCCUGAAAAUGUCAGAACUGUUCCUACAGAUCUGUAGGGACUCAUUCUGGCUCUUUGCUUGGCCUGAAGAACUAGCUAGAACAUCCAUGUGUGAGACAACUAUGUUACUAACAUAGGGAACAACUCAUUUGCAUAAAUGAAAUAGAUCAGAAGUGGUAUCCCCCUCCUUUUUAAAAAAAGAGUUUUGCAUAAUUAAUCUAGUUUGAAUCUUGAGCAUCCAAUGACAUUUGGGAUAAUCAAUGGGCAGUUUGCAAGCUGAAUUUUACCCACAAGGCAAUUUUAGCUGGCAUUAUCUGCUUUAAUCACAGUGCAGUCAGACCUUUGCCCACAAAGCCUCAUCUGUUCCGAACAACAUGAACAUAGGAAGCUAUCUUGUGCUGAGUUACACCACUGGUUCUUCUCACUGUUUGCCACUCAGCUAUUCCAUCACAAGAAAAGGCGUGUUUGCAUAGGUAAUAUUAAAUAUUUCUAUCAUGUUCGGCAGGAGAAUGUGUGAAGGGAGGUAGGUUAGUUAAGGAACCUUUCUAGUGCUGGAGAUUUCCCUAGAAUGACCUCUCUAGGCCUAAGUGUUUUAGGAUAAAGGAAAGGGCCCUGUGAAAAGCAAACUGUUUUACCCCAACAUACAGGUCAUAUGGAGAUAGUUACUGUAUUUCCUUCAAGAACUAAGGAUGUAGCCAAUGAGGCGGCAUUGUAGCCUUGCCCAAUAAUGUUAAAUAGCACAGAACAGCUAUCUUAGCCAAAGUCCAUAUGUACGUCAGAGGAUCCUUUGCGUGUGUGUUUGUAUCUGCAGACCUUUCGUAUAAUCUAGUAAGCAUGGCUCUAAUUAUCAAAUACUUGAGUUUUCUUUCUCUGCGUCUUCAUUUGGUAUUGUAGAAAUAGCCUUAUGUUUCAAACCUAUGUAAAUUCACCAAAGUCUCUGAAAUUAUCUACUGUUAAUUUACAUUAGUGAAUAUCUAUUUUGUCCAAAUUAGCAGCAGUAUCCUUGACCUGCCGUUGAUUUUCUUUGGCUGAACAAUAAUUGACCUUAACACUUGCCAGCUAAACUGUUGAGCUUCCAAAACAUAGCAGAGGUGAUUCAACAAAAAUAUCCUUACAUGCUGUGCUAGCUAUGUCUCUUACAUACUUGCAUAGGAAUGUAAUGCUAGGGUUUGUUUUUAGCUGUGUACAGUAUCUGAAAUUGAAAUCUUUCUCAUUCUGUCAGGAGUUCAGCUAGUAGACUUCCUAGUGUCCUGGUCCUAAAUGAAUGGGGUGUUUCUCUGUCUCCCUGGCUCUUCCACCUCCUUAUAUGAACAACAACAAAAAAAAUCAUUUUUUCCUAUCCAGACUUCAAGCAUACAUUUCAGGUUGAAGAGAGUAACCGUGUCACAACAACAGCAGUAACAAGGAUCUUGAUUUUCCUUCACAAUUAAACUAUAACAAAGUCUUGAAUUUUUUGACAGAAUUGUGAAUAAAUAUCUCCAGUUUCAGGGUGCCACAACUGAAGCUGAAGAACCAACUGGCAUUUCACUAGCAUGAUUGGUGUUCUUCAAGCAAGAAUGUGUUCUAGGAAUGAGUAUAUUCAUGUCAUGCCAUGCAGCAGCCCAAAAAUUCAGAUAACCCUCAAGGGCCCUGGAUUAAAAAUAGAGAGGAAAUGUGAGGAAAUAAAUAACUGGCACGAAAGGCUUGGCUUCAAAGUCAACAGUCAAAUUCCAGUUUGGGAGGGAUCAUGGGACUGCAUUCAAUAAGAAUGCAGAAGCUAAAGUUAGCAAGGCCAGAUAUAAACCCUACCUCUCUGCCCUGGGGCAACGGUUUUUAAGUGGGCAAAGCAGAGUCAGUUGUGUUAAUAUCUCCUUAAGACUAAUCCUCAAUAUAACAAUGUUUCAGGUGGCAAAGCAGAGCUCCUGGUCCCGCAAAACAGUUACCACUAAAGGCUCUAAAGCAGAGAGGAGGGUCUCUCUUUGAAAUCAAAGGAAGGAGGAAAUGAUUACUGCUGGAAAGAUUGACAGCUGCUGCAGCCCAGAAAGGUACCUCCCAGCCACACCUAUUAGAGGCAGCAUGUGGGGCUGCAGUACUGUAUACAGUGUCCAACAUUUAUUCUAGUGCAUCUUGCUACGAUACACUGCAGGAUUUCAGCCACUGUGCACAAAUAUGAAAGCUAGACAGUAAGUGGAUGGGGGAAAAUCAUUUCAUUCAGAAGAUAGUGUUGAAGGAGAAUGUAUAGCUAUCAUGAACUAUUAGAAGGACGUAUAAGUGGCUGCUAGCUCUAAUUAAGCCUGAACAUUUUCUAGAAGUAGGGGCUGAAAUACCUUGGGCAUUUCAUGAGAAGACAAUCCAAAAUGCUGGGAAAAGUAGAAGUCAGUGAGGAAAAGAAGAUUGAACAUAGAGACUGACCCAAUAAAGGAGCCUGUAGCCAUUCGUCUGUAAGACACGAGCUGGGCUUUUAAUGAUAGGACAUGUUGGAGGUCACUAAUUCAGAAAGUCACCAUAAAUCAGAAGUGACUUCAUGGCAUAUAACAACAAUACUUGUUAGUACACAAGCAGAAUUGAACACACCUAAAAAGCUUUUUGAUGCCACUUUUAUUUAAAUUAUAUUAAUUAGAUACAAAUGAUUAACUUAAACCUAAAGCUUCUUAAAUAUGAGAAGCAAAUACUGACAAUGCUAGCCAAUCAGGAUAUUCCCAGCACCCCCAGCCAACCAACAAAAGAAGUCCUAAUUUGAACUACAGCUUUCUUUGGACUGUAGAUAAUAUGGACAUCAAGUCAAUGGUCACUGAUAAUGGGUGUUGUUAUUUUUAAAAACCAUGUCUGGAAGGCACCAGCCUUCAGAAUAUGAAGUGGACUUGAUUACAUCUGUAUAGCAAGGCAGCUUUAAAAUACAUAUAGUUUGUCAGUUUUGCUUCUAUUGGAAUGAAUGUUGGAAAGUUUGGAUACAUCUAAUUCCCCUUCAGGCAAGGAUCUUACUGGGAUUUGUACCAAUGUCCAGAUUACUUUUUCUUUGGUUCUGUUUGUAACACUACCUGUAACCCACCCGCACAUCCUGUUCCCUAGACUUUUUUACACCUCCCCAGAUCCUUCAUUUAUAUUUUGUUCUGAUUGUUCUGGGAGUGGAAUUUUAUUUAGAAUUUGUUUAUUUAAUUAUUAUUUAGGACAUUUAUAUUCUGUCCUGUAGCUUUUAGUCUCAGGGUGGAGUAAAGCAAUAAAAACAAUCCAAUAUUUUAAAGCCAUUUAAACCAUGAAAAACUAUAUACAUACUUUAAACUGAUAACAAGAAGGAAGUCUCCACAAGCUACUUCUUAUUUCUUGAAGGCCUUACCAAAUAACCAUGUCUUGCCUUGACACCACAAUGAGAUUGAUAUCGGCACCAGUCAAACAUCUAAGGGGAGGGCAUUCCAUAACUGGGGUGCUACAGCUGAGAAAACCCUACCCCGUGUCUCUGCACAGUGGAUCAUAUUCCAUGGCAAGACAUGGAGGAGCCCCUCCCCUUAGCACAUGCAGUCUGGAGUGUGCUUUAUUUCUAUUUUUAAUGAUGUUUUCCUUGGUUUUGGAAAAAGGAUCAUAGUAUUCCCCUCCAAAAAGGAAGGAGAGCAGAUAUGGUCCCUUCAUGCUGCAGCCCCAUGACUACCAGAAUGUUGGAGGAUUGUGAAACAUGUCGUUAAACCCUACAGACUUCAGUGACUCAAUUAACAUCUUUGUAGCAGAAAAGGUGCCUGAGACCCAUUGGCCUCUUUUGCUUAAUUCCCACAUAUGUUUGGAGAAGAGGAGAAGCAGAUCCUACAAGCUAUGUGAUGCAGUCAUAAUCCUGAAUAACAGCAAGCUGUAGACGGUACUCGCUACUCUUUAAAAAAACAAAAUCUCAAAUAGAAGUUUCUAGGGAAACAAACAAUAGCAGUGUGAAUGACAGGAAAUAAAUAUCUGCCUGGAAUAGUUCACAUGGUUUCUAUCCCAUAGAUUUGUGCUCAGUCCAAAACAUGUUUGAGCCCAGACAUUAUUAAGCAUAUCCUUUAUUGGCUGGAUAGCUCAUUGAUAAAACUAUGUGGCUGUGGAGCCAGAGGUUGGAGUUUGAUUCCACUCUGUGCCUCCUGUGAGUAGAACCAACUUGUGUAAUCAUAGGCAAGCUGCAAGUCCCAUGAUGACCCCAGAAGAAAGAAAUGGUAAACUACUUCUGUGUAUUCUUUAUGUCAAAAAACCCUGGAAAGGGUCACCGUAAGUCAAAAUUGACUUGACAGCGUAUGAGAAUAAUUAUUAUUAGCUCAAAUGGAAGGAUUUUCAUUGAAAAACUAAUGCAAAGGCCUAAAUACAGCUGGUAUUACCAAUUUGAGUAGACUCACUGAGAUCAUUGUUGACUGGUAAGUCAACAGCUAAAACAAUUUCCAGUGGGCAAAAUCCUGUUGGUGUAUAUUUACACUGGUCUAACCUGAAUGGGAUGCUAGAAAUACUGUAUUUAAUUUAAACUAAUGGAAGACUUUUUAUCCUCUUUUUCACUUUCUGAGAUCCCCUAGUGCCCUCAUGUUGUUCAACUGUUUUCCAGUGUAAUUCUAUGCAUGUCUUCUUAGAAUGAAGUCUCCUUUAAUCCAUUGACACUUAUUCCUAGGUAAGGUGCACAGGAUUGCAUCUCAACUGUGCAGUCCUGUACAUGUCUACUUAGAAGUCAGUCCCAUAGUUGAAAUCAUCUUUGCUCAAAUCACUCAUGCAACCAUAUGAAGAGUCUGGUUUUUAUGGGGUGUAUGCAAGGGAUCAUCCAGGACAUCUUUGCAUAAAGAAGUCAAGGGUUCCUGAAGGGGAUCUCUGCUUGCAUAAAGGCAACCCUUGCGCACUUGUGAGAUGCUGCAUUAUGUGUCAAAGGGCCUUAAUAUUCCACUGACAAUCAACAGAAUUGGGGCCAAUGAAUUAUUCCCAGAUUGGUGGGAAGUCUGAAUAAUUUACUCCUGCUAUCUCUUUUGCUCGAGAAACUCAAAAUGGUAAGGGAAGCAGAGUAGUGACGUAAAUGAGUAAGGUUUAUGUAACUGAUUGGAGCACGACAGGUAUUCUGUGGUUCAUUUGGGAUGGAGCUCUCCAUAAAAUGAAAGGGUGAGGCUCCCUCCAUGCUUGGAUCAUGGCCACUGUUGCGAAGUACAAUUGGAUAGAAAGAUGGCAUAUACAUUCAACAAAUAAGAAGCAAUAAUAAUAAUUAUAGGCACCAUAUGAUAUUGAAAAAUCUUUGUAUAUAUCAGAUGAUAAACUAAUUAGGAAAAUAUAUAAAUUCCUUCUAAGAUAGAAAAUGGAGGACGAAAAGGUCAAAGAAACGAUGGUUCAAUGAGCACAGAAUUUUGGAUACAAUAUUGACUUUGAAAAAUGGCAAGAGCUGUGGUCUAGAAACUAUAAGAUGACAAUGGCAACAUCCUAUAAAGAGAAUUUAUAUAAAAUGUUUUAUAGAUGCCAUUUAUCUUCUGACAGAUUGUCUAAGGUGUAUUCUAAUAGGCCAAGUAAAUGUUAGAAGUGUCUUAAAAAAACUGGAACCUAUUAUCACCUCUGGUGGACUUGUGAUAAAGCAAAAAGUUUUGGAGCA